UCGAGAUCGUCGUCGUUGGUCACGGAGAUCAAGGCGUCGAGAUCUUCUCCCGGAAGCUGGUACUUGAACGACACGUCGUUGUCGCCGCAGAGAGCCGCUAGCUUGCUGAUCAUGGAGGCGAACUUGAUGGCGCGAUCGGCGGCGAGUAUUUUGGUCUCGCCGCCGAUGUAGGCGAGCUGGUUGUCGUGAGGGCGCGGAUGGAUCUUGCCGCCGUAGCUGCACAUGAACUUGGCUCUGUAGGCUUGGGGAUUCUGGUUGUCCUCCCAUGGCGGAGGAUUCUCGAAAUCGAUCUCGCGUGAUCGUGGAGACGAGUCGCCGGA
rnacentral:lncRNA from 1 species